GAUGAACGCUGGCGGCGUGCCUAAUACAUGCAAGUCGAGCGAACAGAUGAGGAGCUUGCUCCUCUGACGUUAGCGGCGGACGGGUGAGUAACACGUGGAUAACCUACCUAUAAGACUGGGAUAACUUCGGGAAACCGGAGCUAAUACCGGAUAAUAUAUUGAACCGCAUGGUUCAAUAGUGAAAGACGGUUUUGCUGUCACUUAUAGAUGGAUCCGCGCCGCAUUAGCUAGUUGGUAAGGUAACGGCUUACCAAGGCAACGAUGCGUAGCCGACCUGAGAGGGUGAUCGGCCACACUGGAACUGAGACACGGUCCAGACUCCUCCGGGAGGCAGCAGUAGGGAAUCUUCCGCAAUGGGCGAAAGCUUGACGGAGCAACGCCGCGUGAGUGAUGAAGGUCUUCGGAUCGUAAAACUCUGUUAUUAGGGAAGAACAAAUGUGUAAGUAACUAUGCACGUCUUGACGGUACCUAAUCAGAAAGCCACGGCUAACUACGUG
rnacentral:rRNA from 1 species